rnacentral:rRNA from 1 species
CCUACGGGGGGCAGCAGUGAGGAAUAUUGGUCAAUGGGCGCGAGCCUGAACCAGCCAAGUCGCGUGCGGGAUGAAGGUUCUAUGAAUCGUAAACCUCUUUUAUAAGGGAAUAAAGUGUGGGACGUGUCCUAUUUUGUAUGUACCUUAUGAAUAAGGAUCGGCUAACUCCGUGCCAGCAGCCGCGGUAAUACGGAGGAUCCGAGCGUUAUCCGGAUUUAUUGGGUUUAAAGGGUGCGUAGGCGGCCUGUUAAGUCAGCGGUGAAAGUCUGUGGCUCAACCAUGGAAUUGCCGUUGAAACUGGGGGGCUAGAGUAUGUUUGAGGCAGGCGGAAUGCGUGGUGUAGCGGUGAAAUGCUUAGAGAUCACGCAGAACCCUGAUUGCGAAGGCAGCCUGCCAAGCCAUGACUGACGCUGAUGCACGAAAGCGUGGGGAGCAAACAGGAUUAGAUACCCUUGUAGUC